CAGCAGCCGCGGUAAUACGAAGGGUGCAAGCGUUAAUCGGAAUUACUGGGCGUAAAGCGUGCGUAGGCGGUUUGUUAAGUCUGCUGUGAAAUCCCCGGGCUCAACCUGGGAAUGGCAGUGGAUACUGGCAAGCUAGAGUGUGUCAGAGGAUGGUGGAAUUCCCGGUGUAGCGGUGAAAUGCGUAGAGAUCGGGAGGAACAUCAGUGGCGAAGGCGGCCAUCUGGGACAACACUGACGCUGAGGUGCGAAAGCGUGGGGAGCAAACAGGAUUAGAUACCCGCGUAGUCCCUGUCUCUUAUAC
rnacentral:rRNA from 1 species